rnacentral:rRNA from 1 species
CAUCCUCAGUUCGGACUGGGGUCUGNAACCCGACCCCGCGAAGCUGGAUUCGCUAGUAAUCGCGCAUCAGCCAUGGCGCGGUGAAUACGUUCCCGGGCCUUGUACACACCGCCCGUCACACCAUGAGAGUCGGGAACACCCGAAGUCCGUAGCCUAACCGCAAGGGGGGCGCGGCCGAAGGUGGGUUCGAUAAUUGGGUGAAGUCGUAACAAGGUAUC